AUUGAACGCUGGCGGCAGGCCUAACACAUGCAAGUCGAACGAGCGGCGGACGGGUGAGUAAUGUCUGGGAAACUGCCUGAUGGAGGGGGAUAACUACUGGAAACGGUAGCUAAUACCGCAUACCAUCAGAUGUGCCCAGAUGGGCUUAGCUAGUGGGUGGGGUAAUGGCUCACCGAGGCGACGAUCCCUAGCUGGUCUGAGAGGAUGACCAGCCAAACUGUAACGGAGAAACGGUCCAGACUCCUACGGGAGGCAGCAGUGGGGAAUAUUGCGCAAGGGGCGCAAGCCGGAUGCAGCCAGGCCGCGUGUGUGAAGAAGGCCUUCGGGUUGUAAAGCACUUUCAGCGAGGAGGCGUUACUCGCAGAAGAAGCACCGGCUAACUCCGGGCCAGCAGCCGCGGUAAUUC
rnacentral:rRNA from 1 species